rnacentral:piRNA from 1 species
UGGGAACGAGAGGACACUCGUGGAGGCGUC